GGAGAGUUGGCCGAGAGGAUUAAGGCACCGGUCUUGAAAACCGACGUAGGGGAAACCCUGCCGUGAGUUCGAAUCUCACACUCUCCG
rnacentral:tRNA from 1 species